rnacentral:lncRNA from 1 species
GAACUUUCGAGCUCCGUACGUUCACCUAUCUUUGUCAGUUGAGUGGUGGAGACAAUAGCAGUGUUCUGUGGGCCUUUCACGUGGGUGUAAAUGACUACACUAAGGACAAAGUUCUGAAGAAUUAGUGUGGCGUAAAAGGGCUAGUCAACAGCCUGAAAACGGGCAGUUGAGGGAAAUUUCUGUCUGCAAUCAAUCUCCUCACUGCAGGAGGAGUCCUGGAUAUCCUUACAUGUGCAAUAAAGAUGGCUGAAUUCAGUGAGCACUGCCUGACCAGCAUAACAAUUCCUUAGUGAUUUAUGGCAGAUUGAGAGAGCAAGGAUUUAGGAUUACAUCUAGGAGAUCUGCGCGGCCAAGGAUAUGACUGUCUUGCAUUGAGAAUAAAAGACCUACUUGAAGUCUCAGGACCUGAAGAAGACUUCUGUAAAGCACCACAUCCAUCACACGUGCUACGGCUGACGCCGGAGUCAGGGAUACAGCACCGGCCUUGGAGAAGCAGCACCAUCAUUUAUGCCAACUGAUGGAGUAGGAGCAAGUUCAUCCCGUGCUUCGUCCCUGAGGCAGGAUGCCUUUUGCAGAGCUUCCUCUCCUCCAGCCUCACCCAGGCAGCCCUGGCCGGGGCAGGGUGACCAGCUGUGACCCCCGGGAGGGCUGGCUGACCCACCGCUGCCAAGAGACCUCCCCAGGCCUGAACCCGCUGCCUCUCCCUCCACAGCGUGCCGGUUUGGGGCCAGCUCUUUGCUCAGUUCUCUUACAGGGCUGCAAUUCCUUAUGCAGAAGCCUGCUAAAGGAAAAGCUGAGUGUAGCUGCAGUGUGGUUCUUCAGUCAGUUCUGA